GGGGGGGUUAGUGACCUUAAACAGUGGUUCUCAACUGGUUUUGUCCCGGGACCCAAAUUGAAUCCGGUAGUCUCACUUGCGACCCAAUAUUUGCAUCGCGAAAAAUAAUUGCCAACAUACAAUCUGGAAAACAAUUAUAUGACGAGAACAACAUCCCCCACCUCUUUCAUUGUCAAUAAUACAAUUUUGCUCAUAUUCUUGAUGAAGAAUGUUAAUUAACUCACUGUCUUGAGACCACAAAAUCAACCAAAAUAGUGCUGCUAAUAGCUCUAUAUUGAAAAUACUGUGAUUGAAGAAAACAUUUUCAGAGAUUAAAUUAUUUACGCAUUUAAAUGCAUUAUCACAUUUUCUACCUGGUUUAAGUCGUUUAAGUUCAGACUGGAGUACUUAUUUCUUUUUAUAAAAACCAUUUGAGAAUCGCUGAUCUAAAGUCCUUAAAUAACAACGGGUAGGGGAAUGUCAAGACUUCACUAAUAUUCCCAAUAUAUCAGCUUGCCUGGCUACUGCCCGCUACAUUCAUUUAGGAAAGCCCAUGCAGCCUCAGACGUGGCCAUGAAUUGUCUUUGUAUUUUUCUUUUAGAAAUUAGAGUGAAAAAACGAAUCACUUGCAUAGUUGAGCUUUAAAAUAUUGAAUCUACCCAGUAAGCAAAAUUACGUUGAAGAGAUGUCGAGAUUACGUAUUUUCCAGACGUUGAAGUAAGGUUCAUUUUCCAUUCUGAAUGAAAGUUGAAAAUAUGUAACAUUAUAUAAAUUAUAUAACAAUAAAUCAAAUGAAUAUAGGGAAGAGGAGCCAUCUGAAGAUUGCAGCAUAGAUUAUUUAAUAUUUCUUCCACCGGUCACAUGCGUUUAUGUUAGCUUGAUGUUCCAAGCAUUCCAACCUACAGAAUAAAGCAGCAGACCACGGUUACAGAAAUAUUAUUUUCUUGCUAUGACUGUGAUAUGUUGUUGUUUAUCUACCUUAGUUGAAUGCACUGACUGUAAGUCUGCGGAAUGACCAAAAUGUAAAUGUUAAAUGUAAAAACAGACACUUGCAAAGCAUGCUGUGUGUUAUUAGUAAAUUUAGAACUGAACCUUUAUUUAACUAGGCAAGUAAGUUAAGAACAAAUUUUUAUUUACAAUGACGGCCUACCCUGGCCAAACCCAGACGACGCUGGGCCAAUUGUGCACCUCACUAUGGGAUUCCCAAUCACAGCCGGAUGUGAUACAGCCUGGAUUCGAACCAGGGACUGCAGUGACGCCACUUGCACUGAGAUGUAGUGCCUUAGACCGCUGCACCACUCUGGAGCCCUAAUGACCUCCUCCCCCCCAAACAAGUACAAAUUUGGCUGGUCCGGACCACACCUAAUCUGAACAAAUCAUAGAUGUCUAGGCUAUGUUUCACAAGUUUGAACAUAACAGUACGGUACAGCACAGUUCAGUACAGUAGCUACAGUACAGUUUAAUUCAGUACAGUAGAGUACAGUUUAGUUCAGUAGAGUACAUUAGAGUAAUGUAGGGUAAAAUACAGUAUAUUAUACUGUACUAUACUCUACUGUGCUGUACUCUACUGUACUAAACUAUACUUUACCCUUUACUUUAAUGUACUCUACUGUGCUCUACUGUAUUUUACUGUACUGUACUUUUCUGUACUGUGCUCUGCUGUACUGUGCUCUCAACUUGUGAAUUAUAGAUGUCUUUGAUUGGUUCAGAUUUGGUCCGGAUCGGACAAAAUCUGACGUAUGGUGCUCAGUGGGAGGUGAGUGACGUACGUUGGUGAGAUGCGAGUAACGUGCGAUUGGCAGGAUGGUCCAGACACCUGCAACUCGCGAGACACAAGCGAGUGCCCUGAUGAACAAGCCAAGUCACCACAUAAACAAGACCGCUUUAACUGGCUGUGCACUGACAUAGCAGCAUGUAUGUAGUUGAGAUGCACUCUCAGCAGCCUAGAUUCUAAAGGCUGUCUGGAGAAUAUUAUAGAAAAGUAGUCGUUGAUUGUGUCAGCAUGAAGACUUUAAAUACACUGAUUGCACCCGAUAAUGGCCAAAUAGCGCUUACAUUUGAAUUGUUACUUUGAACUAGUUGAACCGUUAUAUAAGUGUUGCUGUAGCCUCGAAGCCACAGCUGGUGACAAAAAAAAAGUUUAACCAAUGUUUCUGGGUAAGCUUUUAAUGAAGUGAAAUAUCUGAGUGAGUGGUGCUGGUCUUGUCAGACCCUAUUAGGUUGUUUACCGUGAGACAAUAUGAAUUUGCAUGGUUAGUUUUAACAUGCACCCACCCAUGAGAGUGUUGGCUAGAACACAGUGACCCAUUCUACACACACACACACACACACACACGAUCGCAGACACACACUUGUUUCCCGGACUGGAUAAGAAAGCUAUUGAAGGAUUCUCUCAGGAAAAAAUAAAAUGUUCUAAAUAAAUGAUGAUAAACAUUAGAUGAACCACCAUUGUUUGGCGAAUCUGUUUUGCUCUCUGGAUGGAGAAUGUCAUGGUAUGUACUGUUUGCGUCCUGUUCUCCUGCUCUUUGGUUUUGGCUCGUUCCACGCAAUCCCUUUGAUAUUUUAAGUAUAAAUUGUGCUCCAAUAUUGCAUUUUUAAAAGCCUGUUAUAUUGAAUUAAGUGCCCUUUAAUAUAGAUCACAUGGAGAAUUAAAUAAAUCAGAUUUUCCAUAUUAAAGUCUUGCUUGAGUGCCAAAAUUCUGCAAGAUGUGAGCUGAACUCUCAUUUUAAUAAUUAUUCCU
rnacentral:lncRNA from 1 species